rnacentral:piRNA from 1 species
UGCUUUUCCUUUGCUCAGGUGUGCUC